UUCUCCCUCCAAGAAUCCAAAGUCAACUUUUCUUCCCAUGCAAAAAACCUUAGACAAAAUAGAUGAUUUGGAUGGGGUUGCCCUAGCAGGUGGAGGAGGAACCUAAGAUGGAGUGGAAAUUCUCUGAGAUGAAGGCAUGGGAUUAUUCCUCUACUUGGACCGAUGUUCACAGACGGGAGGAGGGCUUAGAGGAGUGCUAAGGCUUGAGGGUUCCACAUGGGAAUGAUUCUUCAUUUGGCUAUUUUUUUCAUGGGUGCCAUUGGAGAUCCAAUCCACCAAAAAAUCUAAGGAAAAUCUUCGAUUUGGAGGGAAAGAGGGUUUGCAUGGAUUUUUGGCUCAAAAGAAAAGGAGUAGAA
rnacentral:lncRNA from 1 species